CCAGCCCUCGCCAGUGGCUGUCAACCAUGGCUGAACAUUAGAAUUGCCUGGUGAGUGACCGAUUCAUUCAGCUGGGACUGGGACUCAAGCAUUAUUUAGAAACUCACCAGGAGAUCCACCGGCAGCCAGAAUUGAGAACCACUGGUCCAAAACAAAUAGAUAAAAAUCUACCAUCUCGUUGAAAAGAAAAUGACCAAUAUUCACAGAUUCGAAAACUAACAGCCAAUAAUGGCAAUGAUGAGGAGAAACCUUCAUUCUCAUGCAUUGCUGAAGAGAGAAUAAAAUAAUUUCCAAACCUUUCUGAAGGGCCAUCUGGCAUCUCUCUGGAAAUAGUCCCUUCCAGGGACACACCUGCAAUCCGGAGCUAGCUGGAGGAGAACUGGGAGACUGCCCUCUCCAGCCUCCCCGCUCCGGGAAGGACCGCAGUCAGCCCCAGAGGGAAUUGCUCCAUGUGUAGCUGCGGAUUCAGUGUGUCCGUGGGAGGAGGCCCACAGGUCUGAGAUCGCAUACAGCC
rnacentral:lncRNA from 1 species